UUCCAGACUCCUACGGGAGGCAGCAGUGGGGAAUAUUGCACAAUGGGGGGAACCCUGAUGCAGCGACGCCGCGUGGGUGAAGAAGCGCCUCGGCGCGUAAAGCCCUGUCAGCAGGGAAGAAAAUGACGGUACCUGAAGAAGAAGCCCCGGCUAACUACGCGCCAGCAGCCGCGGUAAUACGUAGGGGGCAAGCGUUAUCCGGAUUUACUGGGUGUAAAGGGGGCGCAGACGGCGAUGCAAGCCAGGAGUGAAAGCCCGGGGCCCAACCCCGGGACUGCUCUUGGAACUGCGUGGCUGGAGUGCAGGAGGGGCAGGCGGAAUUCCUGGUGUAGCGGUGAAAUGCGUAGAUAUCAGGAGGAACACCGGUGGCGAAGGCGGCCUGCUGGACUGCAACUGACGUUGAGGCCCGAAAGCGUGGGGAGCAAACAGGAUUAGAUACCCCGGUAAG
rnacentral:rRNA from 1 species